AGUCGAACGGCAGCGCGGGGCAACCUGGCGGCGAGUGGCGAACGGGUGAGUAAUAUAUCGGAACGUACCCUGGAGUGGGGGAUAACGUAGCGAAAGUUACGCUAAUACCGCAUACGAUCUAAGGAUGAAAGUGGGGGAUCGCAAGACCUCAUGCUCCUGGAGCGGCCGAUAUCUGAUUAGCUAGUUGGUGGGGUAAAGGCCUACCAAGGCAUCGAUCAGUAGCUGGUCUGAGAGGACGACCAGCCACACUGGAACUGAGACACGGUCCAGACUCCUACGGGAGGCAGCAGUGGGGAAUUUUGGACAAUGGGCGAAAGCCUGAUCCAGCAAUGCCGCGUGAGUGAAGAAGGCCUUCGGGUUGUAAAGCUCUUUUGUCAGGGAAGAAACGGUGAGGGCUAAUAUCUCUUGCUAAUGACGGUACCUGAAGAAUAAGCACCGGCUAACUACGUGCCAGCAGCCGCGGUAAU
rnacentral:rRNA from 1 species